GUGGGGUGGAGGCCGUGUAACCUGGUCAUGGCAACAGGAAACAGGAAGGCAGGGGCUCUUGCUUCAACCUGGCUUUAAUCUGUGGCCUUCAGCAAAGUGCUUGGCCUCCAUCAGCCCCUGUGGGGUUGGUCCUCAUGGGCUGCAGUGGUUGAGGGAGUGAUUGCUUGGCAGCACCUCCAGAAAUCAGGAGGUGAUAGGGAAGGGAUAUUGAAAACCCAAAGGUAUUUAGCAUCAGUGGUGUGUGGAGUUCACCCCAUGUUUCUACAUGGUCUUCCAAAUUCCACUCCUAUAAUAAUUGGGGUGGAAAAUUGGUACGUUUCAUGGUAUUUUGGGUCAACUCAAAUUAGCUGUUGUGUUUAAGAUACUUGUUGAUAAUUUGCUGUUAAUUUUUAAAGUGAUAUUUAGAUUACAGUUCCUCUAAAAAUGCAGUUUUCUUUCUUGCUUUCAGAGAAUGAAAGAAGCUACCCUGACACAUCACAGAAAGCAUGUUUCUUUCUAAAUCAAAGAGUUCUUCCAAUAGCAAUGGCCUUCUGGAAUGCUGGAUUUCUGCUAUGUGAGUGUGACUGGGGAGCAUCCACCGACAGCAUCCCAUGUUCUUGAGUUGGAGGGCCCCAGCUUUAGUGCUGGAAGGAAGCUGUCUCUAUUUCCAAACUGGUUGUCAGAUGACUUCUGGAGUGCCUGGAGUUAGAGGAGAAGAGGAGGAGCACCAAGGCACCUGUGCUGAGGAUGAAGGGUCAAUUAGUGGCUGCUGAGCAAAUCAUAGAGCUGCUGCAUCCUAAUCCUAUAGACUUGGUCCCUCUCUGCCAUUCCUGGCAGUGUUCUCCAGAAUAGAUGUAAGUAGAGCAGCACAGCACAGUGCAGCUCUGCUGAUCCUGCAGCUCCUGGCAGUGCACCUGGCUGCCCAGGAACAGAUGUGAUUUCCACUGCACUUCAUGAAACAGGUGCUUGUCAAAUGAGAUGGCUGUGAACAUUGUUCAGUGGUUCCUGUGGCUGUAAAAAUACCCUCCACCACAACUCAUCUGCCACACACAGGCUGGAUUGUUCCGGAAAAGCUAGGAGCAAAUCCUUUAGCUAAGCCUGCCUUUCCUUUUGUUGAGUUGUGGAAACAGUGAAGGGCAAUGGGAGAUGAGCAUGUGACUUUAUGUGUUAUCAUCUCUGGGUAUUGAGGUGCUAUUUUUGCUUCCUUCAGGGAAAAGUUAAAUAUUCUGAUUUGGAUAUUCACGACAAAUGGCUUUUAAGGGAGAAAAUGAAAGGGUUUUGCUGACAUCUGGUCUUUGCUCCUGGCUCCUGGAGAUAUAUAGG
rnacentral:lncRNA from 1 species